rnacentral:rRNA from 1 species
UGCCAGCAGCCGCGGUAAGACGAAGGUGGCAACCGUUGUUCGGAAUCACUGGGCAUAAAGAGCACGUAGGCGGGUAAACAAGUCGGGUGUGAAAUCCCUCGGCCCAACCGAGGAACUGCGCCCGAAACUGUUUGUCUUGAGGACAGGAGGGGAGCGUGGAAUUCCUGGUGGAGCGGUGAAAUGCGUUGAUAUCAGGAGGAACACCGGCGGCGAAGGCGACGCUCUGGCCUGUUUCUGACGCUGAGGUGCGAAAGCCAGGGGAGCAAACGGGAUUAGAUA